GGAAGAGUCAGUGCCUGGAGGAGCUGCCUACAAGAAACAGCAAGGAGAUGAGAUAUCACGAAUAGCAUCCUUCCUUCACCAAAAAAAUCAGUAAAGCAAUUAAUUUUAACAGGUUGGAAGAAUUGAGAAACAGAGCGAUUUCAUGGUAUAUAGCCGCCACAUGGCAUCUUACUGGCUAAUACAAGACUAAAGCAGUGGAAAAUGAGGGGAGAAGUCAAUGUAUUAUUCCACAGUAUGAUAAAUCACACUGGGAAAUAUUGAAUAGUUGUAGUUACUACCAGAGCACAGGAGUACUAUGAAAUUUCUUGCUUUAUUUUAUGAAGCAUUGAACGGUUCAAAACAACUAUUGCUUUGAGAUGUCAUCUAUAAAUCAACACAGACCAAUGGCAGCAAAGUGAUGGAUAUCCACCCAUCUAAGAGAUUUGAUCAUAAGACACAAGCUAAAACAGUGACCAGGCAGAGAUAAAUGUUUGUUUUCAGAUUAACAUCCCAAGGUCAGAGUGCCUAGGCAUAUUAAUG